GAGUUUGAUCUUGGCUCAGGAUGAACGCUAGCGGCAGGCCUAAUACAUGCAAGUCGAACGAUAGUUGUCAGCUUGCUGAUAACGAAAAGUGGGCGCACGGGUGCGUAACGCGUAUGCAACCUACCUUAAUCAGGGGGAUAGCCCGAAGAAAUUCGGAUUAAACACCGCAAUAAAAACACAGUACAGCAUUGUACAAUGUUCAAAUAUUAUAGGAUUAAGAUGGGCAUGCGUGACAUUUAGUUAGUUGGACGGGGUAACGG
rnacentral:rRNA from 1 species